rnacentral:rRNA from 1 species
UGGAAAAAUAUUAAAAGCGUAACAAGGUUUCCGUAGGUGAACCUGCGGAAGGAUCAUUACAGUAUUCUUUUGCCAGCGCUUAACUGCGCGGGGAAAAACCUUACACACAGUGUCUUUUUGAUACAGAACUCUUGCUUUGGUUUGGGCUAGAAAUAGGUUGGGGCAGAGGUUUAACAAAACACAAUUUAAUUAUUUUUAUUGAUAGUCAAAUUUUGAAUUAAUCUUCAAAACUUUCAACAACGGAUCUCUUGGUUCUCGCAUCGAUGAAGAACGCAGCGAAAUGCGAUAAGUAAUAUGAAUUGCAGAUUUUCGUGAAUCAUCGAAUCUUUGAACGCACAUUGCGCCCUCUGGUAUUCCAGAGGGGAUGCCUGUUUGAGCGUCAUUUCUCUCUCAAACCCCCGGGUUUGGUAUUGAGUGAUACUCUUAGUCGAACUAGGGGUUUGCUUGAAAAGUAUUGGGAUGGGUAGUACUGGAUAGUGCUGUCGACCUCUCAAUGUAUUAGGUUUAUCCAACUCGUUGAAUGGUGUGGGGGGAUAUUUCUGGUAUUGUUGGGCCGGGCUUACAACAACCAAACAAGUUUGACCUCAAAUCAGGUAGGAAUACCCGCUGAACUUAAGCAUAUCAAA